CUUCACACAAGCGCCGCUUUCAUAAGAGCCGAGAAAAAAAGAGGAGUUACGGCGGAAAAAGACAAGCCUUUACGAUGUCCCACCAAACUCUGCAACCACAGCCUGUACUUGUGUUUUACUUUCAGAGUCAGUGUUGACUCAGUGCUGACGUGGUACAAGGGUCGGGUUCAAUCUCCUCCCCUGCAACAAGGAAUUGAGCAUGAUUCGAGACACUGCUGCCCUUUUAUGGAGUUUAGUGUAAAAACGAGAUGCUGCAUUACAUAAGGCUGCAACCAAGCAAAAGAAGUGAGGCCGUGACAGUCUGGAGAAACGUACCGACUCAGGGGCUUUAAUGAAGAUCUUGCUGCGACCGAGCUGGAACUGAUCCUGGUCCAUGUUGACGGACCGUAAGAGAUGAAGGACGCCUUGUUUCUCGUCUCCUCGCCACGUCGGCCAGGACUCUUUAGUCAAGAUGGCAUACCUGAAGACAGAAGGUUUAGCGGAGAUAAAGAAGUUGAGGGCAGCUCUGUGAGUUUGGAUGCGGUUUGUUUAAAAAAAGGUAACACAAGCUACAAAGAUGGCCCAACUGGAUGAAAAGUAAAGAGAAAUGGAAACUCCUUGGUUGGUUUGAGCUGUGAUACCUGUUGAGGAACUUCCUGAAGACUCUGCGGUAGGCGUAGCCAGCACGCCUCACCCUGAUGUUCUCUUUCAGACCCAGAUACUCCACCUGGUGCUUCACUCUGAAGACAGAAGAAAAAGAACCACCAUCAACACCAUGUGAAUGUGUCACUGUGCUGAUGAAGAUUAAACUUUCUUUCCAUCCCUGCCUUCUUAAAUAUACUCUCUGGCCUCUUUUCAUCUAUUUCCAACCCAGACCACCAUAUGAAGGACUCAGCCUUCCUGUGUGAUGCUGUCAUUGUACCUAUUUUCUCUACUUUUGUGACAUAUUUAUGCUAAAUGUAAAACAUCCUGAUUUAAUGUCCACAAUGUGUACAAGCUACUAAUUGAUAAGUAUGAAAUUGUCGUUGUCAGUUGUCAACUUUGACUCAGACAUCUUUCCACGGCACAUGAAAGCCCCACUCCACCAGCGGAAGGGAUAAUUGCAGGUCAUUGUAUGCAAAGAAGGUGCUUUUGGUAACUUUUUCCUCAAACAAAGACCUAAGCACUACUUAGUACACUCAGACUUCCUGUGAAAACAGCGGUUCCGGUGCUAAUUAAUGAGCCACCCGGUGCAUGACUCACAACAGGAAGUUCAUAGGCUCUGAACAAUACGUUAUGAUUCUGUAUGUGAACAUGAAGUGCCCAAAACCUGAAAAAAAGACCGGGAAACAAAGGGAUAAAGACGGAGGGAAUGCCUGAAACAUGUCUCACGUGCCUUCAGACGGACGGAAAACAUCCAAAAAAGGAAAAAAACAACUAAUUGGGUGGAGACAGAACAAAUUAGAACAAUGAUGCAGUGUUUAUCAAACUGCUGAGUGAAAUUCUAGAAUUAAGUUGCAACUUGGAAACCACUGUCCAUGAAAAAUUCAUCAGCUGAAGCAGCGGUGUAGUGAUGCCAGGAGAAGAAGGCCGACUCCUAAUCUAUGAUCCUAUUUUGGGUUUUUUUCUUAAAGCUUCCUGUUCAGCAAAAGACAAACAGCCUGUUAUAGUGCACUCCUGCUCAUUUAGUUCACUCAUAAAUAGAACAUUUGGUCACUUAAACUUUUGGUGCUUUACUUCAGGGAUGAAAUUAACAUCGGUCACAGAGGAGAUGCAGAUUUUGUGAUUAGUACUGGUUCACAGAUUAGAAAACUUAACUGUUCUCCCAAUUUGCAUGACUUUGGGCCAGUCCUUUGUAAACAGUUGAUAUAUUUGAACAGCUAGUGCAGGCCAAAGUGUGUCAACAUUAUGAAAGUUACAUUAAUUGUCAAGGGACACUUUGCAAAUAUCAUUAGUCCUACACAAGCCCAAUCUAGUGUCUCUGAUUGGAAGGUACUGAAGAGGGUGGUGAGGGUUGCUGAGAGGAUCAUUGUAAGGGACUUUGCGGAACAACGUUGCCUGUCAAGGGCAUUGAGGAUCACCAGGGACCCCACUCACCCUACCUGUGGACGCUUUUCUCUCCUACCCCCAGGCAGGAAGUACCGCAGCCUGAGAUGUAAAACUGUUAGGUUCAGGAACAGUUUCUUUCCCACCGCCAUCCGUCUUUUAAACAGAGGACUGUAAAUGUUAAACAUAUACACUCUACUGCCUUUCACGAGUGCAAUUACCUUGGACAUGUGCAAUAACGUCUUAUCUAUUCUCUUCGUUCUGCAGUGCAUCUCUAAUGUAAUUUGCCUGAAUGACAAUAAAGUAAUCUGAAUAAAAUAUA